rnacentral:misc_RNA from 1 species
AGCUCGGAUCUGUGCAUCAUCAAGUUUCUAUCAGAUUGGACUAACUUUCUAGUUUCAAAGCAAUCCACUAAGAUUCAGCCGUUGGACUAACUUUUGCUAUCAAAGCUAGACACUCCAAGUUCUAUGAAUUCAACUUCUUCACGGGCCUCCUGAACUCCCUCCCCUGAAGUGUACAGUUGUUUCUCAUAAAGGAUUAUCUACAUUUGGGCGUUUCAUGGAUGCCUUUUGGUAUCUCAAUUUUUCAAUCUCCUUCUCCAGAAAGUCCAAAGUAGUAUCAGUUACCUGGUUCGGCGCACAACCUGCUUCCAACAUCAUCCUUAAAAACUUAUAAGAUUG